UUUCAUAUCUAAUCACAUCAAAACGGAGAUCUCAAAAGAAGAUAGGAUCUCAAUCCAUCCAGGCCAUACUCAAGGCCCAUCUCGGGAUUAUCUUCUUCUUCCAAAAUCCUUCUACUCAGGUUUCACCUCCGAGUUCUCCUUCUCAGAUUCCUCCUCAGCUCCUCAACGGGGUCCUGAAAUGGUUUUCCCCAAACUGGGAUGAGACUACGUCUCAGCGAGUUCUACCCCACUAAGCCCGAUUAGUAAACUAUUAUACUACAGGCUGCCUAAACACGCACAGGGCAGAGGACUUACCUUGGCCUCUGAUCCCAUCUGCAAGUCAGUACAAUUCAUAAUAGGCACCCAAGCAAUCAUAUCACCGAUCGACGCAUCGAUCAAAUCGACCUAGUCGAUUAUAUUCCAACAAGACCACUCACGGUCCUUUCUAUUCAGGCAAUCAAUUCACAACAUCAAAUCAAAGCAUCGACCUAGUCGAUUACAUGCCAGACAAAUCAAUCCCCACUGUGGGAUAUUUAAAAGCUAGGCCACGUGCAUUCUCCAGGACGACCUUCCAAGUCUCCGAGUUCACGUGCCUCGAACCUUGGGCCCACGUGCAUUCUCUCAGGCGACCUUUUCGCCAAAGUGAUGCAUCAAGUCACCGAGACCACGUGCCCUUUUAGAUGCCCGGGCCCACGUGCAUUCUCUUAGGUGCAUCUCACCAAAGCGAUGCAUCAAUUCGCCGAGACCACGUGCCCUUUUAGAUGCCAUUCCGGAAUGCUGGACCCACGUGCAUUCUCUAAGGUGCAUCUCACCAAAGCGAUGCAUCAAUUCGCCGAGACCACGUGUCCUUUUAGAUGCCAAAUCCUGUCACCGAGCCACGUGCAUUCUCCAGGACGACAUACCGAGUCUCCGAGCCACGUGCAUUCUCUCAGGCGACCUUUUCGCCAAGGUGACAUAUUCAACCACUGAACUCACGUGCAUUUUCCAGGUGACAUUCCAAUUCACCGAGCCACGUGUCCUCUUUGCAGUGGUUACCAGUUCACUUUCAAUAUCGACAACCAAUGCCCAACGAUUUCUCAAUCAAAUAAAUAAAUCAACUCAACAAAACAUUAUAAAUGCUGAAUAAACAUACUUGGCCAUUCACCAAUCAAUACUCAAUCAAAUAAUUAAAUUAACUCAACAAAGCAUUAUAAAUGCUGAAUGAACAUACUUGGCCAUUCACCAAUCGAUAAUUCAAUCUCAAUCGAUUCCAAUCAAUUUAGGGUAAAUCCCUAAAAUAUCACAAUUUACUCAAUUCCAUACAACGUGGAGCUCAAAUAAAUAAACGGACUGCACCACGACGAUCAGCACGAGAUUUCGGUCGUCGGCCAUCAAAAUCUUAAUUUCCGAAAAAUAAUUAAUUUAUUUAUUAAUUUCGAAAAUUAAAUAAUUAUUAUUAAAAAUUCAAUUUAGCUCAAAAUAAAGCCCGGUUAACUAAACGGACUUCACCACGGUCAUCAGCACAAUAUUCCGGUCCCGGGCCAUCUCAGUUGAAUUUUCGGAAAAUAAAUAAUUAUUUAAUUUAAUUCCGAAAAUUAUUAUUUAAAUACUAAAAAAUCCACUUAGGCCCGAAAAGCCUAAUUGGAGCCCACUAAGGGUCGGGAAAAUUCCCGAGACACUUCCAAUAAUUAGUAGACCACGUCUACUUGUUAAUUACACAAUCAAUUUAUUUAAAUCGCAUCACAAUUGACUAAUAAUUGCUAAUUUAUUCUAAUCUAACAACCUAAACAUAAUUAAUUAAAUCUAAACCAACCUUAAGCAUAAUUAGCCAACUAAUCCAAGAUUAGUGAGAUUACUCACCAAAUCGCCCGCAAAUCGGAUCAAUCCG
rnacentral:lncRNA from 1 species